UACAGAGGUCUCAAGCGUUGUUCGGAUUCAUUGGGCGUAAAGGGUGCGUAGGCGGCGCGGUAAGUCGGGUGUGAAAUCUCGGAGCUUAACUCCGAGACUGCAUUCGAUACUGCCGUGCUUGAGGACUGGAGAGGAGACUGGAAUUUACGGUGUAGCGGUGAAAUGCGUAGAUAUCGGAAAGAACACCAACGGCGAAAGCACUCUGCUGGGCCGACACUGACACUGAGAGACGAAAGCUAGGGGAGCGAAUGGG
rnacentral:rRNA from 1 species